CCGUAACUAAAAUAACUACAGUACAUAACAUAGGUAUAUAGUUAUUACAUACAAUAUUUAUGACUAUACUACUCGAAACCUAAUAAAUUGAAUAAAAAAUGUUUUUUCUUAUAUCGCACUUAUAGCUAAAAAACUUUAGUCGAGUAUUUUACAAUUAUGGCAGAUUUAUCGGUUUUUCUUGGAUUUAUUAGCAUGUUGGUACCCAUGAUUUUUCGAAUCUUAAAUUCGUUGAUCAACGUUCUUUGUCAAGUUUAUUCAGAAUAGCUCUAAAGUUUUUGUCUUGCUGUUUUGUUAAAUGCGUUUUAUGUAUUGUUGAAAGGUUAUGAUUUAAAUCGAAUUGCUAGUAAUCUACGUGGGAGGAUCAAACUAAGGAAACCGCAGCUUGGAAAUAUUUUUAAGUCGAAAUCUGUUGCGUGACGUCAUGUCGAGAGACAUUUAUUAUUCCCAAAAAUAUUAUGACGAAGAACAUGAAUACAGACAUGUAGUACUACCAAAAGAGAUGGUAAAGUUAGUGCCAAAAAAUCAUCUAAUGUCAGAACAAGAGUGGCGCAGCAUCGGUGUGCAGCAAAGUCAAGGUUGGGUGCACUAUAUGACACAUCAGCCAGAACCACAUAUUUUAUUAUUCCGAAGGAGGAUAACAACACCACCAGAAAAAAAUUGAUAUGGAAUGCAUUUUCUGUCCCAUCGUUUAGCUGUAAAAUGUAUAAUUUUCUCAUAAGUUAGUUUUAAAUUGGGCCCAUAAUUAUCUGUAUUUCAUUAUUGUAUAACUGCUCUGAACAGUAUCUACAGUAUAAAUUAGCGUUUAUUUUUUUAAAAAUCAAUAGUGUACGGUUUAUCUAAACGAAAUAAUCUCAGAAAACUGGUUAUACUUAAGAGACUUUCAUAUUCAUAUGGCAAACAGGUUUAGAACCUUCCAAGGUACAGUCCUAAUAUGGGAAGCAUGUUUGCCCUUUUUAUUGUCUGUGAUUAUAAUAAAAUUAAUUAAUUAAUCUUUUAAAUCAGUGUCCCAUGCCCCACUGUAAUAUUUCUAAAAUUUUUAUGCCUCCCAUACUUAAUUUUUAACAUAAAAAAAAAAUAUUUUUUCACUUGAGGUAUAAAUUAUAGAUUUCAGGAAGAAAUUGUUAUCAGAAUUGUGCGUAAUAUUUCAGAACAUAAAAAACUGAAGUACAAAUUCAACAUAGUUUUAAAACAGAUUUUCUAUAUUAAUUUAGUGUGAUUGUCUAAAUUAAUUAUCAAAUUACCCCAUGUGGGGCGUGGGCCCCACGUUGUGAAACACCAUUUUAAAUAGUGGAUUUGUUCUUUUUUGCAUAUCUGUCGUGCUAUAAUAUAUUUUGUCGAGUUUGUAAUAAAAUUUAUGACUACUUCUGAGUUGUCAAGUAAAUCUUAAAGUCACAUUUAAUUUCAGAAUGGUUAUAAAAUUUAUAAUAAACUUUGAUCGUAACUAAAAUCGUAUGACACUGACAAUGUUAAUCAUUUACUCUUCUAUCAAUCAUUCAUGACAUAAAUCUCGGUAUAUAAUUUGAGGACUUUGUUCUUAAAAGUGUUAGUAGGUAUGUAAACAAUUAUGAAUAAAAUUAUCUAUCAAUAAAUCAAGAAAGUACAUCUUCUGAAUGUCAUAGAGUGUAAAAUGAAUUGUAAAUUCAUUGAAUAUAUUGUAAUAAAUGAAUUAAAUCACUUAUAAUCUUAUCUUAUCCAUCUGCAUGUUUCAGUUUUCAAAUUAUAAUACCGGAACUUAUAUUUGGAUUUAGAAUUGUAAUUUGUUUAUAUUGUAUUUUAUUCCACAGCCCACUGAGUUUCUCUCUGUAUCUUCUCAUUGGGUCGCGAUUCCGAUCCAGUUGUAGAUUCUGUGAAGCGUUGUUCUUGUUAGGGCUAGUGUUCACACCUUCUCACAGGCUGAGCUGUGAAAAAAAAUCCAAUGAGCAACUUAAAUAACAAUAUAAAAAAAAGCAACUCUAAAUAAAAUCUAGAUUGUUAGUCUCUUGCUAGCAAAAA